AUUGAACGCUGGCGGCAUGCCUUACACAUGCAAGUCGAACGGCAGCACGGGGCAACCUGGUGGCGAGUGGCGAACGGGUGAGUAAUGCAUCGGAACGUACCUUUCAGUGGGGGAUAACGUAGCGAAAGUUACGCCAAUACCGCAUAUUCUGUGAGCAGGAAAGCAGGGGAUCGCAAGACCUUGCGCUGAUUGAGCGGCCGAUGUCAGAUUAGCUAGUUGGUGAGGUAAAGGCUCACCAAGCCAACGAUCUGUAGCUGGUCUGAGAGGACGACCAGCCACACUGGGACUGAGACACGGCCCAGACGCCUACGGGAGGCAGCAGUGGGGAAUUUUGGACAAUGGGCGCAAGCCUGAUCCAGCCAUUCCGCGUGCAGGAUGAAGGCCUUCGGGUUGUAAAGCUCUUUCGGCCGGGAAGAAAUCGCAUUCUCUAAUAUAGGAUGUGGAUGACGGUACCGGACUAAGAAGCACCGGCUAACUACGUGCCAGCAGCCGCAGUAACAC
rnacentral:rRNA from 1 species